AGUGGAAUUACUAGGUUAAAUGGUGACUCUCAGUUUGGCCUUUGAAAAACUAUCAAAUUGUUUUUGAAUUGACAGUAUCAUUUUACAAUUCCAACAGCAAU
rnacentral:pre_miRNA from 1 species